UACGUAGGUGGCGAGCGUUGUCCGGAAUUACUGGGUGUAAAGGGAGCGUAGGCGGGAGUGCAAGUUGAAUGUUAAAUCUAUGGGCUCAACCGAUAGCCGCGUUCAAAACUGCAUUUCUUGAGUGAAGUAGAGGUUGGCGGAAUUCCUAGUGUAGCGGUGAAAUGCGUAGAUAUUAGGAGGAACACCAGUGGCGAAGGCGGCCAACUGGGCUUUACUGACGCUGAGGCUCGAAAGCGUGGGGAGCAAACAGGAUUAGAUACCCUGGUAGUCCCU
rnacentral:rRNA from 1 species